rnacentral:rRNA from 1 species
UACGAAGGGGGCUAGCGUUGCUCGGAAUCACUGGGCGUAAAGGGUGCGUAGGCGGGUUUUUAAGUCAGGGGUGAAAUCCUGGAGCUCAACUCCAGAACUGCCUUUGAUACUGAAGAUCUUGAGUCCGGGAGAGGUGAGUGGAACUGCGAGUGUAGAGGUGAAAUUCGUAGAUAUUCGCAAGAACACCAGUGGCGAAGGCGGGUCUCUGGGCCGAUACUGACGCUGAGGAGCGAAAGCGUGGGGAGCGAACAGG